rnacentral:rRNA from 1 species
CCUACGGGUAGCUGCAGUGGGGAAUAUUGGACAAUGGGGGAAACCCUGAUCCAGCGACGCCGCGGGAGUGAAGAAGUAUUUCGGUACGUAAAGCUCUAUCAGCAGGAAAGAAAAUGACGGUACCUGACUAAGAAGCCCCGGCUAACUACGUGCAAGCAGCCGAGGUAAUACGUAGGGGGCAAGCGUUAGCCGGAUUUACGGGGUGUAAAGGGAGCGUAGACGGGAGCGCAAGUCUGGAGUGAAAUGCCGGGGCCCAACCCCGGAACUGCUCUGGAAACUGUGACGCUGGAGUGCAGGAGAGGUAAGCGGAAUGCCUGGUGUGUCGGUGAAAUGCGUAGAGAUCAGGAGGAACACCGGCGGCGAAGGCGGCUUACUGGACUGUAACUGACGUUGAGGCUCGAAGGCGUGGGGAGCAAACAGGAUUAGAUACCCGAGUAGUC